rnacentral:rRNA from 1 species
UACGAAGGGGGCUAGCGUUGCUCGGAAUCACUGGGCGUAAAGCGCACGUAGGCGGCUUUCUAAGUCAGGGGUGAAAUCCUGGAGCUCAACUCCAGAACUGCCUUUGAUACUGGAAAGCUUGAGUUCGGGAGAGGUGAGUGGAACUGCGAGUGUAGAGGUGAAAUUCGUAGAUAUUCGCAAGAACACCAGUGGCGAAGGCGGCUCACUGGCCCGAUACUGACGCUGAGGUGCGAAAGCGUGGAGAGCAAACAGG